CUCUCUCUCUCUCUCUCUCUCUCUCUCUCUCUCUCUCUCUCUCUCUCUCUCUCUCUCCCCUUAAAAUUUGUAGUAGAUAACCUUCAUCUUGUUGAUUAAUUUAUCAUUUGUUAAAUGAAGAAAAGUUUGGGAUCGAGGAUUUUGGGGCUUACCAUCUAUGAAGAUCUUUUUGAGGUCCAUUGUGGGGGUUUGUAGGGUCUAUGUUUGCAUCUGUAUUCCUUAUUGUUUGGUGUUACAAAAUUUAGGACUUACGAAUUGGUUGAGUUCAUUCGAAUUUAGGGUUUGGGAAUUGUUCCUAGUUUUUUUUCUAGAUUUAGGAAAUUUUUGUUUGUGUCUUAGGAACUACAUUUAUGGACUUGGUCGACCUUACCAACCAUGCGUGUCUUUCUCUUUGUUGAAGCAAUCGAUAGGUUCUUCAAUUUUCAUGCAUUUGCUUACUUUGUUCUUAUCUGUUGGCUGUAGUUGUAUUUAUGCUUGAAAACAUUGAGAUUUUGCUUUCUCAUUUGUUUCUAUAACAAUAACAUAGAACAAAGCAAUUGCCAAAAUCAAAUAACUCUCAAAACCUCUCAUCUUUGUUUCGGGGAUGACUUACAUUUGUUUUGCAAAAGGGCAAUUGAACCUUUUUUGCUUGUGAACAUAGGCAAUAAUUCGUAAUUAUUAUUAUUUUUUUGGUGUGUGUGUGUUGCGGCGCCGCCGGGGGGGUGGUGGUUUACCAUGUCUUUUAUUGCAGCUAUCAAUGUCAACACAUAGAGUGCCAUCUCUUUCUUGAGCACAUUUGAUUUAAUGUGCAGGUACUGCUCAGAACACCCAAACUGUGCAUUUGACAUUGUUGAAGAUCUUUGAUAACUGUUUGGUACUCCUCCUACUCCUUUGCUUGUUAGUAACUAUUUGAUACUUCUACUCCUACUCAUUUGUUAGGCAGCCACCAAAAUCAAAAACUAUCCCCACCUUUCGGAGGGAAGUAACUGUUUGGUACUCCUACUCCUUUGCUUGUUGGUAACUGUUUGGUACUCCUGCUCCUACUCUUUUGCUAGGCGGCCACUAAAAUUAGAAACCAUCCACUCCUUUUGGAGGGAAGUAACUGUUUGGUACUUCUACUCCUUUACUUGUUGUAAAUGCACAUUAAUGUAGUUAGAUGGUAUUGAUGGUUUUUAAUUUUAGUGGCUGCCCAUCCACAUGUAUUAUGUGACAAAUUGGGAUAGUUUUUGUUUAUCUUUGAGAUGUGUAUUGUAGUAUUUGGGCUGGAAGCUAUAUGUUGCUGUGGAUGCAACUUCUUAUUCUAAACCAACAUAUUGUUGUGGAUGUUUUUUUGUUGGAAGUGCAUCAACACUUUUUCAAAAAAUGAUGUUUAUGUGGAUUUGGGCUGCCAGAGUUUAGUAUGUUGCUGUAAUGGGACAGUCAUUCUCAUUGGGCUGUAUGUUGACGCUAGCUAAACAUUUGUAUGUGGCUUUCGUAACUACAUUAAUGCGGUAAUGGUAUACUUCUUUGGGCUGCU